GAUGAACGCUGGCGGUAUGCUUAACACAUGCAAGUCGAACGGUCACUUCGGUGAUAGUGGCGGACGGGUGAGUAACGCGUGAGAAUCUGUCUUCAGGUCGGGGACAACAGUUAGAAAUGACUGCUAAUACCGGAUGUGCCUUUGGGUGAAAGAUUUAUUGCCUGAAAAAGAGCUCGCGUCAGAUUAGCUAGUAGGUGGUGUAAGAGACUACCUAGGCUCCGAUCUGUAGCUGGUCUGAGAGGACGAUCAGCCACACUGGUACUGAGACACGGUCCAGACUCCUACGGGAGGCAGCAGUGGGGAAUUUUCCGCAAUGGGCGAAAGCCUGACGGAGCAAUACCGCGUGAGGGACGAAGGCUUUUGGGUCGUAAACCUCUUUUCUCAAGGAAGAUGAUGACGGUACUUGAGGAAUAAGCAUCGGCUAACUCUGUG
rnacentral:rRNA from 1 species